UCCCUGUUAUCCCAGUGAUGGGCUGGGGGUUAUCCCAACACAAGGAACGAGUCCAUGUCCUGCUGGUUGGGAUUGAAACCGGCUCCUUCGCCCUCACUGAUGCUGCUUUGCUAUGGCAAGAGGCAUGGAGAGGACAUUGGAGAUGCUCCAGAUGCACAUCACAGGUGAGCUCCGGUGCCCAGGGAUGCCUGGGAUGGUUUGGACCAUCAUGAACAUCCCAGCAAAGGUGGCUCCGUUCACCCAAUGGUGCUGAUGGAGGGAGAGACACUAAUACAUCCACAGCAUCAGCUGAACAUGGGUCACUCAUCAGCACAGGGAAGGAGAUUCCUGCUCUGCCAGAGGAUGAGCACACACGUUACUGGAUACAGCCCUUUCCUCUACAGCAGGAAGAAUGAAUGAAUUCCAAGUGAGGAGCCUCUGGAGUUCCUGCCAAGCAGCUUGAGCAGUGUUUCACCUAUUAACACUGGGAUCCUAUGAAGCCUCAAGUACCUCCUUGCAUGAGAAAGGGUUGGAAAUACAAACCUGAUUCAUAGGGGUAACAUUCACUGAUUUGCUCUUCUUGAGUUAUUGGUUCCUCAUCAUCUGGAAGGUAACGCUUAUCAAUUGCCUCUUUAAUCUGGUUAUUGGCUCCUUUGGGAUCUAAGUCCAUUGCCCACGAGAAAUUCAUUAGGGCCAAAUGUGUUUGACCCAGUUUCUUAUAAACCUAAAAUAAAAGCAUAAAAAGUUAUAUUUACAUGAAGCUGCUACUUGAGGUUUUGGACAACAAACCUAACAGGCCACAAGUAACUGAUACUUGAUGAAAACCAUAAGGUUUAUGGUUAUCUUUAAGAGGUAAAGAUGAGUUAUUAAGUCCCAAGGGAAAUAGCAAGCAUGUGUAGAAAGAGUGAGCAAGCUUUUCUAUUUCAGACUCAAAAUUAAACUGGCAGCUGACACUCAGAACCAUAAAGAGGUGGAUCUUGAAAUAGAAAUGAAGCUGCAGCAAGGUGGGGUUAAAGCUGCACAUGUCUUGUCCUGCCCCUUCAUGCUUUGAGUCACUGUAACCCCCAAAUCUACCUGUGGCUCAGGAAAAGCCCAAAGUCUGAGGCUUCUAAUGCCACAAGAAUUGGGGAAGCAUCACCACGUGCACACAUGAACCCUGCACUCUCCCCUAUAGCUCUCAUUGAGCACUGGCAAAGGAAGGACCCAUCGUUUGACUUGGCACAGCCAUUUUUACACCCUCAUUGUAGCUGUCAUUGGCAGGUGGAGAGAAGAACAGGACAUGAAGAGGCCCCUUGCUUGUCCUGCUGAACUGAAGAGCAGUUCUUCAAGACAACCCUGCUCUGCAGAUUCCAGCCCACAUUUUGCCCUGAAGCUCUCCUUAUCACAACGGACAGAAGAGCAAGUACUUUAUCUGUGCUGAGCAUUUUAACAGUGAAAGUCCUUAACUUUGUCAAGACAUGGCAACUGUCAUGGCAAUGUGGAGCUCCAGCUACCCCUGACAGUUACCAGCCAACAGACUUCAGCACAAAUCCUUUUACCUCUCCAUCCUGCAGAUGAAGAGUUCCUAGAGGCAGGUUUGUCCUGUUGCUUCCUAGGGAGCAGACACCCAGGGAAGGAAGGUGCAGACCAUAUUUAAAGUAUAUUAGCAGAGAAGACUGUGAGGAAGGAGGAUUUCUAUUCCUGGAUUACUUUUCUCUGGCAUUAAGCACAAGGGCUGGAAUGCAAACACAGCUGACAAGCUGGUAAUAGCUCUUCCUGUGCUAGCCUACUCCAUUAGCUUCAUCAGAGACUCUUCUGCCUGCCAAACUGAUAACCUUUUACAGCUCUUUGGGGAGCCCAUCAGCUGAAAAGGACACUAAGGCUCUUGGUGGAGACUUUGGAGUGUGCCACAAUACCUCCUUGCUCAGCAUUUCUAAUACAUUAGAAUGUGUUUGAACAUCCUGAUAGCUACACACACACAUAAGCAACAGUGCUGCCUGAUGGAUGGACUGUCCCUCAAUGUUCUAAGGAUUUCCACCGAUCACAUUGUUGCUGUUGUAUUGAAUCAAGCCCUAAUAAAGUCCCACUUUCAGAGGCAGAUUCUGGCUGUGUGCAUAACCACUGCAUAAAGUCCCUUUAUCAGGAUCAUUCCCUUUAAAACCAUUCUCUUUCAAGUUGACAGCAGUGAAAUCAAAGCAGGUAAAGAGGAAC